CUUCACCGAGCCCAGCCACAGCGGCCGGUCGCGCUGCUGACCGUAGGUGGCGAUGAGCGACUGGGCCUC
rfam:Micromonospora echinofusca strain DSM 43913 genome assembly, chromosome: I